GCUGGACGCGGUGGCGCACGCCUGUAAUCCCACUGGCUCGGGAGGCUAAGGCAGGAGGAUUUCGAGUUCAAAGUCAGCCUCAGCAAUGGCGAGGCACUAAGCAACUCAGUGAGACCCUGUCUCUA
rnacentral:sRNA from 1 species